AAAUGUGAUUCAGGGACACUUCUGUACGUUUGGUGUAUUUUUUUCAGUUACAAGUGUCCAUACAGUUAUGGAUAAGGAAACCUGCAACGUGUUGGCGAAUUGAGGAUUCGCCGAUAAAAUCCCAUUAUUUUAUUGCGAAAAAAUCGACAAUGACCGUCUUUCAAGACUUGAUUGCACCCAGCCUAAUCCAAUAAUUGACAAAACAUUUACUUCAGAAGAAAAGCGAACGAAUUUUGUAUCUAAAUUAAGCCUCUAUCAAGGCCGAAUUUUUAAUGAUAUUUAGAUCCAAGUGGAAACUGAGGACGCAGAAAUGAUGAAGUGAACCGAAAAUUGCUGCUGCUCUUGCCAGCCCUGUGCCCGUCUGUUGUAAAAAUUAUAAAAAAGGGUUCAAAGUCAACAUGGAAACCGAGUACCCAAGAAUCACAGACCCCUGGAGACAUUGUCAAGUCAGUGAGAAACACUACGAGAGAAAUAUGGCAAGUUUGACAUCCAGCUUCAGCCAUUUAUUAUUGUAGUAGGCCCAACAUUAUCGGAAGUCACUGCAUUCUAUGUGAAUAUAGAUAAUACGAGGUAUCGUUUUCAAAAUAUCCUAGCUGAUCUUGACCUUUGCUUCAAGAGCUUCGAUGUACUGCAUGCACAAUAGCCUAAGCCAAGUGAACAGGUAAGGCUGUUUUUGUAAAAAGCAGUUUAUGCUCUUAAUACAAAAUGGGAUAAAAAAAGCGACUCGCGUCGCAACACUUCUGGCAGCCGUAAAACACAUGUAAACAAGUUCUUUAGCGUAUAGAAACUCGCAUAGAUGGACACCUUUCUUUCUUUAAAACUUAGUCAUGCGAAAAAUUUAAGUAGGAAAAAAUAAAAUAGUUUAUUUAAUUUUUACUGUGAAGAAAUAAGAAAUUAAUAUCAAUAUGUUUCUUUGCUACAUUUGUGGGCUGACACUUGAAACUUCAAGUCUUUUACUGUUUCAGUUCAAAAGUUUUCACUUUAUUGCUUCUCGAAACAAAUAAAUAUGCAAACAAGAAAAUUGCACAAAUGUUUUUCCAAGUUCUCAUGCUUUCAAGAAGCAUCUUGACAGAAAUUUAAUAAUGUAAUUAUACAUUCAGCGGGACUUUUCACAGCUCAGUUACAUAAUCAAAUAGCAGUACCACGUAAUGUUGUUCAAAACAGUAUAGAUUUUACAAAGGAAUUUUUUGAGUACGGGAUUUAUAAUAUUUUGAAAGAUAAAGUUUCUAGUAUCUUAGAAAGAGAUUUUUCUGAAGCGGAUAAAAACGACUUGGAGGUCGUGUUCAAUAUUGCUGAAAACCCUUUUGAAGAUCUUGAGUCGAAAUACAAGAGAAAAAAAUAUUUUAGGUAAACCGGAUAUUUCGUUGAACCUGAGUCAUAUAUAAUUGGAGAUGCUAAAACCUACAAAAUAAUUGUUG